GUUCUGGGAUGGCUGGUAAUUGCUUGACAAGGCGCUGACUAGCACUGAGAUGUGCAGCUGUUGGCCCUUAGUGAGAGAAUGGCUGGCUGACUGAAUUCCUGUGUCUGACAGGAGAAGUGUCUCAGCCUCCCUACUUAAUUCCCUUAAGGUCAUGGUAGGUCUCUCCCUACACCGCUUCCUCAGCUCACUUGCAUGCUCAGUGUGUGUGGUGGAGAUCACCUGUUGCUCCGAUCACCUCGGCUGUGUGCAGCUCUGCGCCUUCCACCUCCUACGCUUGCACCCCACAGACUGUUCGUCACUGCACACUCUGUGCAGCUCUCUCACUUGGUUGCAGGCAUCGCCCCCUGGUUCAGAAGUCAACCAACUGCCAUACAGCUGUCCUCCUGCUCUCCAGAAACUGCUGCUCCACUUCCCCAGGUCCUAGUGCCCGUGGUGUUUGUGCUACUGCAGACAUAACAUUAUGAGAGGGGUUUGUUAACCCUGGUGAUGCCACAAAGCAGUGAAGGAAGUCCAAACAAGGGAUGUGGCGACCCCGUAGAAGUCCUACACGUGUUUCUGCAACAGGGUAUCAAACAGACACAGAGGCCAGAGAGGGAGACAGGCAGAGCUAAUUUACAGAAGUUCAGAACUAGUUACUGUGAGUGUGUGGUAUUAAAUAUGGCUUGUUAUUA